rnacentral:tRNA from 1 species
GAGGGUAUAGCUCAGUGGUAGAGUGCGUGCUUGGUAUGGGUUCAAUCCCCAGUACCUCCA